rnacentral:rRNA from 1 species
AUUGAACGCUGGCGGCAUGCCUUACACAUGCAAGUCGAACGGCAGCACGGGAGCAAUCCUGGUGGCGAGUGGCGAACGGGUGAGUAAAGUAUCGGAACGUGCCCAGUCGUGGGGGAUAACGUAGCGAAAGUUACGCUAAUACCGCAUACGAUCUAUGGAUGAAAGCGGGGGAUCGCAAGACCUCGCGCGAUUGGAGCGGCCGAUAUCAGAUUAGGUAGUUGGUGGGGUAAAGGCUCACCAAGCCGACGAUCUGUAGCUGGUCUGAGAGGACGACCAGCCACACUGGGACUGAGACACGGCCCAGACUCCUACGGGAGGCAGCAGUGGGGAAUUUUGGACAAUGGGCGAAAGCCUAAUUCAGCCAUGCCGCGUGCAGGAUGAAGGCCUUCGGGUUGUAAACUGCUUUUGUACGGAACGAAAAGGUUUGGCCUAAUAAGCUGAGCUCAUGACGGUACCGUAAGAAUAAGCACCGGCUAACUACGUGCCAGCAGCCGCCGUAA